GGAUCCUCCCACCUCAGCCUCCGAGUAGCUGGGACUACAGGUGGAGAAAAGAAUAAAGAAACCCAUAUUUCUUGAACUUCUCCUCUGAACCAAAUACAGCCUUUAGAAUUUCCAGGACUGUACCUACCAUCAAAUUCAUGAUCCUCUUCUGGAAAAUGUACUCACCCAGCUACCUCUUGGUCUGCAUCCUUGCUGCUGCUGGCUUCAGGGAUACUGACUACAGUGAUUGGUGCGGGGAGCAUUUCUUCCUACCACAAACUACUCUGCUAACCUCAGUCCAGGAUGUCCCCUCUAAUAGAGAUGCUCACUGUAGCACAGAAAGAAGAGUGAUGGCCAUUGGAAUUUCAUUCAUCUACUGGAUUCUCCUUGCCAAGUAAUUUCUGGGAAUUCCUCAGUCUUGCUCACAUGUUGUACUACUCUCUCCUGGAUGUCACUUGUCACCUCUACCAGCCCUCCUUUCUCCAGAUGGCUUCUUCAUAACCACCAGGUCAGAAGAGGAUCCGUUCCAAUGAUUUUCCUAAAACAAUGGAAGUGUUUUCCAAAGAGCUUAUAAGGCAUUGUAGGAUCUGGCCUGCCCUGACUCCACUUUACCAGAACCAUCUGCUGCUCUUCUCUCUUGUGUUACUCAAGGUAUUAGCUGCUGUGGCAAAUCAACUCUGAAAUCUCCGUGACUUAAUACAAGAGAGGUUUAUUUCUUACUCACGCUGGGUGCACUGCCACUUGGUAACAGAGGAGCUAUGGAAACUUGAGACCUAAGCAGAAAUGAGUUCAAUAAUAUUGCUACACUCUAGGACUUUCUCCAAAAUUAACAACAGAACAAAAGUGCAAGGCAGUGAUAACCCAUCUGACAGCAUUUGGGGAGUGUUUGUGAAAGCAAUGGUGAUGGAGGUUUUAAAAGAAUGUCAGAUCAUAUAAGCAAGAAUGUUGAUGAACAUAGCUUGGGACCAAGACGGCUUCAUUUUGAUCCCAAGGCCUGCUGACAAUGUGCUGAAAGGAAAGAGGAUCUUCAAUUUUUUUAAAAACAGGAAUGAUUUGGUGUGUUCGUUCUUAACAAUUGUUAAACAACAUAAAAUGUGAUUCU
rnacentral:lncRNA from 1 species